GACGAAACCUUCCAAUAACAAAGCCUCAGCUAAUUGAACAUACCUGAUAACAGAGGGAUGAGCAAUUGGCAACAUCAUAAAUGAAAAUGUUCUAUACUUAGUGAGGGUCCAAACCACAUGUUUCUAAAAUUGAUAACUGAUAACAAAUUCCGCAAAUCUAUGUUUCUUUUUCUUUUUUUUUCUUUUUUGUAUCGGUGAAAGUCAGUAUUGUUAGAUAGUUAAAUUAACACUUUGAAGGAGGAGUUGAACCUUAACCUCCUUUCUCCUAGCACUUAAGCGCACCCCUGAUACCGUUGGGCCAAAGACCUCUUGGCUGAUGCUAUUGCACUUAUGUAUACAUUUCUAAUUGCUAGGUUUGGGGGAGAGACAAGAUUGUGUGUACAUAUGUAGCCGCCGCUAUAAUUAUCUUCGCGCAACCAAAAAUUGGUUGAUAACCUAGAGUUUUAGAAAACAAAUUCCCACACAUUUAACUUUAGGAUUUUUUCUUUUUCACCCAUGGGAAGCCAAUCCCUUGGAACUUUUCUAAAUUAACCUCAAAGUUAGUGGCUGUGUUCGUUUUGCAUUUUUGGGUAUUUAGUUUUAAUAGUGGGUGGAGAGAGAAAUAGGGUAAUGAUUGGAGAGAUGAGUAAUGAGUAGAGAGAGAUGACAAAGUAAUAAUUGGAGAAAUAGGGUAAUGAUUAAAAACAAAACAAAAACAAAAUGUGAAACGAACAAGGCCAGUAUAAUUCCAUCCCCAACCGAUGAAUGAACUGGAAACUAAGAGAAUUUCCUACAGUUGCAGAUUACUUCAUAAAUUAGUAUCUGUAGACAUCAAGGAAAGGGAGGGAAAGGAAAAGGAAAGUCAAUGAGAGAAGCUAAAUUCUUUGCUUUUGUUUGGUUGGGAGAAGAACCAAAUUACAAAGACAAUGAACAGGCAUUUCUUGAAGUUGUAAUCUUUUGUCCGGUAACCCAAAAAGAAUAUCACAAGCAAUCUUGGCUCCUUUUCAUUCCCUCAGCGUAUUCUAUAGUCAAUACCCGGACAUAGACAUAAAUCAGUCUUACCUAGUCUAACACAUAAUCGAUUUGAAACAGUUAAUGAACUCUACAAUUUUAAUGCACGUUAUGCGAGGUAGCUCCACAACAAGAAUGCCACAAAAACAACAGACAUAGACUCAAAUGGGAAUGUCAAUACUAACUGAAUCCUAUCCUAUACGACCCCUUCAAAUUGAGAGAUUUGGUAAGAAAAGAAAAGAAAGGAUUAGAGAAUCUCAAAAAAUCACCCAUGUGAAUUGAAUAAUUUGAUUAGGAACUGAGAGAAAAGCACAAAAAUAAAUUUUUUUGAUUGGUCCCUUCAGCUUUCUCGAGAUAUGGUGAGAAAGAGCUCUCCUUUCUUGUCACAUCAUUUCUCACAAUUCAAAGGGGCCGUUACUCUUGUUAUCUACUUUUGAUCUUUGAACAUCCAUUAUGCUAGCUACACACAAGCCCAUCCACAACGGGGAAAUUCACAUAAAAGCAAUUAAGCUCAGCUACAGGAGGAUACGAUACCGAAUUGUAAGUUUUCUUUUUGAUGAGCGAAUUGGAAGUUCUUUUGCUAAUACAGGUGACUUUUUCCCCCGUAACCAAGGUAACCAAAAAUCCAAACAUAGGACAGAAAAUUAGUAAAGCUACAAGUGAAGUUACAGCUAGAGAGAGAACAAAAUCCGAAGUAAUUGAUAGUAAUAAGAUGGAGAAAAUGGCAAAUUAGGGGUUGUAGGAAAACGUACGGAGAGCAUGAGAGGGGUAUCGAGGACGGGAUUGUGAGGGCAAAUCAGGCACGCGUAUUUACCGCUGGAGAGCUUCCUGUAAGAGGAGGACUCGAUUCCUUCAACGGCCAGAUCAUCCACCCUCCUCUUCCUGUACUGUGCCUCUCUCGCCCAGCUAUCUCCUCCGUACACACUCAUCUCUCUCUCUCUCUCUGAUCGCGCGAAAAAUC